CGAACGCUGGCGGCGUGCCUAACACAUGCAAGUCGAGCGCGAAAGGAGCAAUCCGAGUAGAGCGGCGCACGGGUGCGUAACACGUGGAUAAUCUGCCCUUGAAUUCGGGAUAACCUUCCGAAAGGUUGGCUAAUACCGGGUAAGCUCACGGUGACUUCGGUCGCUGUGGGAAAAGUAGACCUCUGUUUACAAGUUUACGUUUGAGGAUGAGUCCGCGGCCCAUCAGCUAGUUGGCGGGGUAAUGGCCCACCAAGGCUACGACGGGUAGCUGGUCUGAGAGGACGAUCAGCCACACUGGAACUGAGACACGGUCCAGACUCCUACGGGAGGCAGCAGUGGGGAAUUUUCCACAAUGGGCGAAAGCCUGAUGGAGCAACGCCGCGUGUGUGAUGAAGGUCUUCGGAUCGUAAAGCACUUUCGACCGGGACGAAAAACCUCUGGCUAACAUCCAGGGGCCUGACGGUA
rnacentral:rRNA from 1 species